rnacentral:ribozyme from 1 species
CAGUUUUUCUCUUUUAGGUUUUUCUUUUUCUUUUUCUUUUUCUUCUC